rnacentral:rRNA from 1 species
CUUAAAUUGAAGAGUUUGAUCAUGGCUCAGAUUGAACGCUGGCGGCAGGCCUAACACAUGCAAGUCGAGCGGAAACGACACUAACAAUCCUUCGGGUG